UACGUAGGGACCGAGCGUUGUCCGGAUUCAUUGGGCGUAAAGAGCUCGUAGGCGGCCACUCAAGUCGAAUGUGAAACCUCGAGGCUUAACCUCGAGCCUGCAUUCGAUACUGGGCGGCUAGAGUCUGGUAGGGGGAUCUGGAAUUCCUGGUGUAGCGGUGGAAUGCGCAGAGUAUCAGGAGGAACACCGGUGGCGAAGGCGGGAUCUGGGCCAGUACUGACGCUGAGGAGCGAAACGUGGGGAGCAAACAGG
rnacentral:rRNA from 1 species